UACAGAGGUCUCGAGCGUUGUUCGGAUUCAUUGGGCGUAAAGGGCGCGUAGGCGGCGGGGUAAGUCUGGUGUGAAAUCUAGGAGCUCAACUCCUAAACUGCACUGGAUACUGCUCUGCUAGAGGACUGGAGAGGAGACUGGAAUUCACGGUGUAGCAGUGAAAUGCGUAGAUAUCGGGAGGAACACCGGUGGCGAAGGCGGUUCUCUGGGCCUUACCUGACGCUGAGGAGCGAAAGCGUGGGGAGCAAACAGG
rnacentral:rRNA from 1 species